rnacentral:rRNA from 1 species
GACGACGCUGGCGGCGUGCCUAACACAUGCAAGUCGAACGGACUGGAAGUCAGAACUGAGGGGUUGGUAAGGGAGAAGAAGGACUCCGACCACCGACCUCUGACCUCUGACUUUCAGUUAGUGGCGGACGGGUGAGUAACGCGUGAGCAACCUACCUUACAGAGGGGGAUAACACACCGAAAGGUGUGCUAAUACCGCAUAACAUGAGAGGAUGGCAUCAUUCUUUCAUCAAAGAUUAUAUCGCUGUAAGAUGGGCUCGCGUCCGAUUAGAUAGUUGGCGGGGUAACGGCCCACCAAGUCUGCGAUCGGUAGCCGGACUGAGAGGUUGAACGGCCACAUUGGGACUGAGAUACGGCCCAGACUCCUACGGGAGGCAGCAGGUGGGGAAUAUUGCGCAAUGGGGGGAACCCUGACGCAGCAACGCCGCGUGAAGGAAGAAGGCCUUCGGGUUGUAAACUUUUGUCUUUGGCGAAGAUAAUGACGGUAGCCAGAGAGGAAGCCACGGCUAACUACGUG